UCGCGCACGUGAUAGCCCACCGCGUCGAUCAGCGCGCCGUGCGUGUACGAGAUCUCGGUGAUAUGCGGCGCAUAAAUAAUCACCUCGCCGCCAUCGGCGAUGGCCGGCUCAGUCUUAUACAUCGCCUUGGCCGCCGUCCACAGGUCGUCAUAGAUCUCUGCCG
rnacentral:misc_RNA from 1 species